rnacentral:lncRNA from 1 species
CUGAAGAACGCCGUUGAGAGACUACACCGCCCAUGAAACCCUGCAGUAUAACCUUGAAGUACCAUCACGGAGAGAAACAGUGCCAUCUCAGGGCCAGUGGCGCAAUGGAUAACGCGUCUGACUACGGAUCAGAAGAUUCCAGGAGCCAAUGACCAAUAGGCCAGAGCACUGGAGACUUUCUGGAAGAAAGAGGUACCCACUCCCAGAUAAUGCUCCCACUUAUCCCCCUGGCUUUCCUCGCUUUCAGGCCCAAUUCUUCCACCUUAUCUUGUUCUUUUGUCCUUGUUUAAACACCUCUAGCCCAUUGAAAACCUCUUGGCAUCUUCUACUGUGCUCCCCUCCUCCCUCAGCGCUUGCCUCCCUCCCCAGGCCCACCUUCACUCAUCUCUGUGCCUGCCCAGCCAGCCACACUCUUCAACACCAAAAUAAUGGCCUGUUUGACCCUCCUACUGCUCCAAAUUUCUUUUUCACAAUCAAGGCUGUACUCCAGCUAUGAAAGUGGCAGAGUUACUGAGGCAAAAUAAUCUGUGCAGAUUUGCAUUCUCUUUUUUGUCAUCUCUAUUAUACAGUGUUUAUCUGUCAAAAUGAAUAGAAAGCAGGAACUGUUCUGAACAUAGAAAAAGAUGGAAAACUACCCAAUUUAUUUAUGAAGACAGAACACAUCUAAUAUCAAAACCUGUCAGAAAUAACACUCCCAAAAAAGCUAUAGACCCUUACUUAUGGAUAUAAAUGUUAGAUUCCUAAAAUAUUUAAGAUUAAUAAAUAAAACGUAACAGUAUGUUAAUAUAGUAAUUAUAUAAUACAACCAAUUAGGGUUUAUACCAAUAAUUAAUACAAAGGUAUUAGGAAAUUUCUUUAUAGAAUAGGUCAAAAAUAAACCAAACAAAAAAUAUUUGACGGUUGUUAAUUGUCAAAGAAGA